UUUUUUUUUUUUUUUUUUUGAGAUGGAGUCUCGCUCUGUCGCCCAGGCUGGAGUGCAGUGGCGCCAUCUCGGCUCACUGCAAGCUCCGCCUCCCAGGUUCACACUAUUCUCCUGCCUCAGUCUCCCAAGUAGCUGGGACUACAGGCGCCCGCCACCACACCCGGCUAAUUUUUCAUAUUUUUAGUAGAGACGGGGUUUCACCGUGUUAGCCAGGAUGGUCUCGAUCUCCUGACCUCAUGAUCUGCCCUCCUCGGCCUCCCAAAGUGCUGGAUUACAGGCAUGAGCCACCGCACCUGGUCAAAAUUUGAUUUUUUUAAGAGACAGAAUCUUGCUCUGUCGCCCAGGAUGGAGUGCAGUGGUGUGAUCAUGGCUCACUGCAGCCUUGAAUUGCUAGGCUUUAGCAAUCCCCAGGCCUCAGCCACUCAAGUAGCUGGGACUACAGACACCUGCCACCAUGCCUGGCUAACUUAUUUUUAUUUUGUGUUUAGAGAUGGGAUCUUGCUACAUUGCCCAGGCUAGUCUUGAACUCCUGGCCUCAAGAAAUCCUCUUGCCUUGGCCUCCCAAAGUGCUGGGAUUACAGGCAUGAGCUACUGUGCCUGGUCAAAAUUUGAAAAUAAAUACUAAGAAAGUGAAUGUCAACUCAGUGAAAAGGUAGU
rnacentral:lncRNA from 1 species